ACGGGUGAGUAACACGUGGAUAACCUACCUAUAAGACUGGGAUAACUUCGGGAAACCGGAGCUAAUACCGGAUAAUAUAUUGAACCGCAUGGUUCAAUAGUGAAAGACGGUUUUGCUGUCACUUAUAGAUGGAUCCGCGCCGCAUUAGCUAGUUGGUAAGGUAACGGCUUACCAAGGCAACGAUGCGUAGCCGACCUGAGAGGGUGAUCGGCCACAAUGGAACUGAGACACGGUCCAG
rnacentral:rRNA from 1 species